ACCGUCGACGACGACGACCUCAUCAGUUACAUCAUCGCCGGCCUUGAUGAGGACUAUGAGCCGGUGAUCUCCAUGGAGAUCAUCGUUGGGCAAGAUCAUAUCACCAUCGGUGAAGCCUUUGCUCAGCUCAUAAGCUUUGAGC
rnacentral:snoRNA from 1 species